rnacentral:lncRNA from 1 species
GGCUACAGAAGGCUCAUAAAAUCAGACGGCGCAGAAUUAGGGCUUCAGACAGGCACAGACAACUGCACUCGUCUAUUUAAACUACUAUUCACCGUUUCAGUCUCACUCAUCCACAGUUUUCUCUACUUGUCUUACUUUUUCGUAUUGUAGUCUUAGGGUUUUCUUUAUAUCGGUUAGGGUUUAACAAGUUUUGAAUUUUGUAAAUCACCAAUGAGGAAGACAUCCCAAGAAUAGGAAGUGCCGUAUGACACUUUAAACAGCAGCUGCAGCCGCAGUUUCCACUCUUUUUCCCAUCCACCAUUGUUCGGUUUCUACCCAAGUUUCUGUUCAAUGGUCGGGAUUUUGUGGUAUUCUGCACUGUAGCUGUGUGUGUGAUUUGGACGCAGUUUCCACUCUCAUUCCCAUCCACCAUUGCUCAGUUUCUUCCCAAGUCUCUGUUCAAUGGUCGGGAUUUUGUGGUAUUCUGCUUUGUAGCUGUGUGUGUGAUUUGGAACGGGUCCCUGAGGUUUUUUCAUACCUACUUUUAUUUAAAUAUUUGAGUGUAAUUUCAAUGAAGGUCCGAUGCCACGUCGACGGUAGCAAAGAUAAGCAAUGACCGACGAUGCUAUGAUUGGACCAAUAACAAGUUUUUAUUAAUGUUUCGCAUUUUGAUAGGAAUCUGUGGAUGGAGUUUUCAUUCCUCACACGGAGCCGUUUUAAAGAAAUUAAUUUGGUGAGAAGUGAAGCCAAUGAGGAAUUUAUUUAUAAAUAUAUUUGGAAUUACCGUCUGAACAUUUACAUUGAUGUUUGAUCGACUAUCUGAGGCUGAGUAUUUUUGAUAGUUUUUGUAAAGGCUAAUUAUCUUAAUCAAUUUCAAAAGAAAACAAGUUAUGGUUCUAAAGUGUAUUUUAAGUGAGUUACCACUCUGGCAAUAUUUUGUUUUAACUUCAAAUUGUAUGACUUAGAAAUGGGUUUUAGUUGGUCCUAUUGUAAGAUUAGAGGGAAUCAAUAUUUACGAUAUAUUAUUUUUGCCCUUUAGCCAUGUUAA